rnacentral:rRNA from 1 species
CACAUGCAAGUCGAGCGGUAGGGAAGGAGCUUGCUUCUUCUUGAGAGCGGCGGACGGGUGAGUAAUGCCUAGGAAUCUGCCUGGUAGUGGGGGACAACGUUUCGAAGGGAACGCUAAUACCGCAUACGUCCUACGGGAGAAAGUGGGGGAUCUUCGGACCUCACGCUAUCAGAUGAGCCUAGGUCGGAUUAGCUUGUAGGUGAGGUAAUGGCUCACCUAGGCAACGAUCCGUAACUGGUCUGAGAGGAUGAUCAGUCACACUGGAACUGAGACACGGUCCAGACUCCUACGGGAGGCAGCAGUGGGGAAUAUUGGACAAUGGGCGAAAGCCUGAUCCAGCCAUGCCGCGUGUGUGAAGAAGGUCUUCGGAUUGUAAAGCACUUUAAGUUGGGAGGAAGGGUUGUAGCUUAAUACGCUGCAACUUUGACGUUACCAACAGAAUAAGCACCGGCUAACUCUGUGCCAGCAGCCGCGGUAAUACAGAGGGUGCAAGCGUUAAUCGGAAUUACUGGGCGUAAAGCGCGCGUAGGCGGCUUGAUAAGAUGGGUGUGAAAUCCCCGGGCUUAACCUGGGAACUGCAUCCAUAACUGUCUGGCUAGAGUACAGUAGAGGGUGGUGGAAUUUCCUGUGUAGCGGUGAAAUGCGUAGAUAUAGGAAGGAACACCAGUGGCGAAGGCGACCACCUGGACUGAUACUGACGCUGAGGUGCGAAAGCGUGGGGAGCAAACAGGAUUAGAUACCCUGGUAGUCCACGCCGUAAACGAUGUCAACUAGCCGUUGGAAUCCUUGAGAUUUUAGUGGCGCAGCUAACGCACUAAGUUGACCGCCUGGGGAGUACGGUCGCAAGAUUAAAACUCAAAUGAAUUGACG